UACGAACGGAGCAGGUGUUAUUCAGAUUCACUGGGCGUAAAGGGCACGUAGGCGGCUCGGCAAAUCGGUCGUGGAAUCCCGACGCUUACCGUCGGAACGGCGGCCGAAAAUACCGGGCUCGAGGGCGUGAGGGGUCACUGGAACUCCUGGUGAAGCGGUGAAAUGCGUAGAUAUCAGGAGGAACGCCGGAGGCGAAAGCGAGUGACUGGCGCGUUCCUGACGCUGAGGUGCGAAAGCUAGGGGAGCAAACAGG
rnacentral:rRNA from 1 species